rnacentral:rRNA from 1 species
GACGAACGCUGGCGGCGUGCCUAAUACAUGCAAGUAGAACGCUGAAGGAGGAGCUUGCUCUUCUGGAUGAGUUGCGAACGGGUGAGUAACGCGUAGGUAACCUGCCUGGUAGCGGGGGAUAACUAUUGGAAACGAUAGCUAAUACCGCAUAACAGUAGAUGUUGCAUGACAUUUGCUUAAAAGGUGCAAUUGCACCACUACCAGAUGGACCUGCGUUGUAUUAGCUAGUUGGUGGGGUAACGGCUCACCAAGGCGACGAUACAUAGCCGACCUGAGAGGGUGAUCGGCCACACUGGGACUGAGACACGGCCCAGACUCCUACGGGAGGCAGCAGUAGGGAAGCUUCGGCAAUGGACGGAAGUCUGACCGAGCAACGCCGCGUGAGUGAAGAAGGUUUUCGGAUCGUAAAGCUCUGUUGUAAGAGAAGAACGAGUGUGAGAGUGGAAAGUUCACACUGUGACGGUAUCUUACCAGAAAGAGACGGCUAACUACGUG